rnacentral:rRNA from 1 species
GUGGGGAAUUUUGGACAAUGGGCGCAAGCCUGAUCCAGCCAUGCCGCGUGAGUGAAGAAGGCCUUCGGGUUGUAAAGCUCUUUCGGCGGGGACGAAAUGGCGCGGGGUAACAUCCCGCGUCGAUGACGGUACCCGAAGAAGAAGGACCGGCUAACUACGUGCCAGCAGCCGCGGUAAUACGUAGGGUCCAAGCGUUAAUCGGAAUUACUGGGCGUAAAGCGUGCGUAGGCGGUCUCGCAAGUCCGAUGUGAAAUCCCCGGGCUUAACCUGGGAACUGCGUUGGAAACUAUGAGACUAGAGUGCGGCAGAGGGGGGUGGAAUUCCAUGUGUAGCAGUGAAAUGCGUAGAGAUAUGGAGGAACACCGAUGGCGAAGGCAGCCCCCUGGGUUAGCACUGACGCUCAUACACGAAAGCGUGGGGAGCAAACAGGAUUAGAUACCCGUGUAGUCC